AAAAAGGUAAGCUAAACAAGCUUUUGGGUUCAUACCCCAACGAUAGUGAUUCACUCCUUUUUA
rnacentral:tRNA from 1 species